UAAAACCAUUUAUUUGCUAAUUGCAAACCUUCUACGUCUUCUGCCUUUAUCCCAAAGACCCAAAUCAAAACCGAUCUCUUGUCGCUCUCUUCUCCGACUCACCAUUUUUACUCUCUAUCUCCACUCUUUAGUCUCGUCUGGUUUGAGUCAUCUUCGGUCUCGUCAGAGUCAUCUUUGUUGCUGCUCAUCGACAAUCGAUUGAGUUAUCGACAGUCGACAGAUCACAGAUCGACUCUCCAAUCACCAUCUCAGUCUCUAUCUUCUUUCUCGGUCUCCGAUCA
rnacentral:lncRNA from 1 species